CGGUGUUGGGGUUUACAAAACCCGAUCUCCCUAAGUCUUCCCCACUUCUUUUCUUCUGCCGAUUUCAGAUUUCUCCUCUUCUUGAAACUCCAGUCUUUCAAGAACCCCUUUGCUUCAAGAGUUCAAACAAGAUUAAGAUACCCCCAAGCUCCUUAAAUUCCUCAACUUCCUCAAAUCUCCAAGCAAGGCAAGCUAGGAUUCGGCCAUCUUUUGACUUGGGUUCAACAUCGGUUGAUCUUGCUUCGACGGGCCUUUCUUCUUCUUAAUUCCUCUUCGAAUCCAGAUUAGCCAUGUCGACGAGGAGAUCCCGCAUUCCGAGGAGCUGCUCAGCCACUCAGUCGCCUGAGAGGGAGCCUCUAUCUUUCAUAGAAAAGCUACAAGAAGCGAGUGCUGAUGUCGGGAUCGCAGAGCCUACUCUUGUUACCGAAGAUAUUUCAAUUGAAGGUUUAAGUGAUGAAGAAACCUUUCACAACGCAGCCGACGUACCUUCACCUGAUCCCGUACAAGACCCUUUGGGAUCUGGUAAUAGGCCGUUCGACGACACAUUGUCAGAAUAGGCUCAUCGUGAGGUUGUUGAACCGAUCAUCGAGGCUCGUUCCUCUGCAGAUUAGCUAUGUCGACGCUUUGGACCGGCUGGAGCGCGAAUUCCGACGGUUACAAGAGUUGAAGACUGCUGGUAGCUCAACGUACACAGCCAUUUGGAUGGAAUCUCGUCUACAAGCAUGGCACGACACUCGGGCUUCGGCUGGACUUGAGAUUCAAACGCACCAAAGUCGGGUGGAUCAAAUGGAGGCCUUGGCUAUCUUGGGGAUGGCGAAGGGUGACUUGGAGCGUUCACGAGUUGUGAUAUCCGAAAAAUUGGAGCUCUCGAAACAGAAGUUAGCCAAGAUCCAACAAGAGGCUGCGAAAACAUUAUCCCUCACCGAGGAAUCCUUCAUGGUUGCAUUGCAGUGUGAGUUUGAGCGAACUUAUACAGAGGAAUUGACUAAACUUGAACAGCAAGCAUGUAGUCACAAACUUCAUGUAGAUUGAUUGUAACUCUUGUACCUGCAAACUCAAUUUUAUUAAUAGAAAAUAUGUCUUUUUUUCAUUCA